rnacentral:lncRNA from 1 species
GGAAGCUCCCUGAAAGCCUGGCAGGCCACCCUCCUUCCGCUGCAUUUGGUCCAUACACUGAGGGUCUCAGUGGGGAAAAAGCAGAGUCAUUUUAAAGAAACAUGGAUCCUAGUUUCUAGAAGGUUUUUCCCCAUCUGGCAGACAAAGUUUAUGCCUAUUCCACACACAGUUGCCCACUGGAAGAGUCUUUUUCGAUUUGCCACACUGGAUGCCACACUGGAUGGAAUAAUCUAGGAGGAAGGAACUGUGGGGAUGGUGUGCCUUGGGAUGUCCAGAAGACAGUGACCAGAAUUUCAAGAGAUGUUUUCAGAUUUCACAGUAUAAUAAGAGAAAAGGAGCCAGUCCCUUAAAUGAAGAACCUUCAAUCACUUCUCCCCAGGUGCACGUUUCAAUUUCAUUUCUUUUCAUCAACUCCUUCCCUUUGAUGAUGGGUUGCACUGAAAACUAUUAAGAAAAGUAGGAUAUUUAAAAUGAACUGUGUUAAGAAGAGGAUCAUUUCAAAGAAUAGCCGUCUAUUCUGAGGAAGUCCCUUCAGCCAAUCAAAAAGCUAAAGAAACUGGAUAUAAUGUGAAUCUAGUGUAAAUUACCAUGAUGUCUCCUUCAACAUUCAUCAAGACUUCUGACUAGUCUACUUGAUCUGUGAAAAUGAGAUUACUUGAAGACCUGUCACAGAUUUUAAAGCAGAACAAGAUAUAUUGAUUAUACAAAUAUUUUUAUGUCACCCUAUAUCUUCAUAAAA